UCCUGGCCCUAAACGAUGGGCACUAGGUGCGGGGGGAUCGACCCCCUCCGUGCCGCAGCUAACGCAUUAAGUGCCCCGCCUGGGGAGUACGGCCGCAAGGUUAAAACUCAAAGGAAUUGACGGGGCCCCGCACAAGCGGUGGAGCAUGUGGUUUAAUUCGAGGCUACGCGAAGAACCUUACCUGGGCUUGACAUUCACUGGAAAAGCCCGAAAGGGUGUAAUGCCGCAAGGAACCGGUGAACAGGUGCUGCAUGGCUGUCGUCAGCUCGUGUCGUGAGAUGUUGGAUUAAGUUCCGC
rnacentral:rRNA from 1 species